rnacentral:rRNA from 1 species
GACGAACGCUGGCGGCGUGCUUAACACAUGCAAGUCGAACGGAAAGGCCCUGCUUUUGUGGGGUGCUCGAGUGGCGAACGGGUGAGUAACACGUGAGUAACCUGCCCUUGACUUUGGGAUAACUUCAGGAAACUGGGGCUAAUACCGGAUAGGAGCUCCUGCUGCAUGGUGGGGGUUGGAAAGUUUCGGCGGUUGGGGAUGGACUCGCGGCUUAUCAGCUUGUUGGUGGGGUAGUGGCUUACCAAGGCUUUGACGGGUAGCCGGCAUGAGAGGGUGACCGGCCACAUUGGGACUGAGAUACGGCCCAGACUCCUACGGGAGGCAGCAGGGGGGAAUAUUGCACAAUGGGCGGAAGCCUGAUGCAGAAACGCCGCGUGCGGGAUGACGGCCUUCGGGUUGUAAACCGCUUUCGCCUGUGACGAAGCGUGAGUGACGGUAAUGGGUAAAGAAGCACCGGCUAACUACGUG